AGUGGGGAAUAUUGGACAAUGGGGGCAACCCUGAUCCAGCCAUGCCGCGUGUGUGAAGAAGGCCUUCGGGUUGUAAAGCACUUUAAGCGGGGAGGAAGGCUCGACGGUUAAUACCUGUCGGGAUUGACGUUACCCGCAGAAUAAGCACCGGCAAACUUCGUGCCAGCAGCCGCGGUAAUACGAAGGGUGCGAGCGUUAAUCGGAAUUACUGGGCGUAAAGCGCGCGUAGGUGGUUUGGUAAGCGAUAUGUGAAAUCCCCGGGCUUAACCUGGGAACUGCAUGUCGAACUGCCAGGCUAGAGUAUGGUAGAGGGGUGUGGAAUUUCCUGUGUAGCGGUGAAAUGCGUAGAUAUAGGAAGGAACAUCAGUGGCGAAGGCGACACCCUGGACCGAUACUGACACUGAGGCGCGAAAGCGUGGGUAGCGAA
rnacentral:rRNA from 1 species